GAGGGCAAGAGUGUUCCUGGGCUGAUGCCCAGAUUAAACAUGGGAGAUCCUUGGAGUGUUUUCAUCUCCUCCAUUAGAUAGAUCUGAUAAGUGCGGAGAAUCCCUAACUUGCUCUUGUCAGUUAAAGCUAAAAGAUGUUGUCAUUUAAAGGGUCAGGCAUACCCUGUCUCACUGCAGUGUUUCAAGAGAAGGGGACCACAAAGGAGAGGGGAGGCCACCCUGAUGCAAAACAACAUGAGUGAAUCAAAAAGAAACAAAGACAUAAGUCAUAGGACAUUUGCACAACUGAUUAUCAUGAGGAUAGUGGCUUUCAACAAGAGGGUUUUAUUUACUACUAAUAAGGAUUAAAUAUAUCCAUAAUAAAAAGAAAGAC